UGCUCAUCAGACAACAGAUAUUUAUUGAAUGUUCUUUGUCAUGCUUCUUCAAGAUGUGCCCUGGCCAUUCAUGCAAGUUUCAAGGACUCUGAAUCUAUUGAGA
rnacentral:lncRNA from 1 species